GAAUAUCGAACUACCGCGGACGUAGACGAUGGGCUGAACGUAAAUAAAAUAUACAAUCGUCAAGUGUUAAAGUGUAGUAUAUUACUAAGGAAUAUGGAUAGAAAGAGAUGCGAGAGCGUAUUGAACUAUUGUGUGUACAACCAUGACAAAAUUAACAAAUGUUUUGUCAUGUGUACGACGUACGGUGUAAUGCCUAUCGAGUAUUGACCGAAUUAAAAAUGUAUAAAAUUAACGUUUUCGUCGGGCUAUGGAAUAAAAUGGAAGCGACACUGUUUAAUCAGCUGAUCGGUUUGCUUACAUCUUCUGGACGGUACGUGAAAGGAUCAUGGACAUGAUAAAUCCAGUGUAAUGUAUUGAUAUUAUAUCCGUAUUAAAGACAUCUAUGUAGUAAUGUACCUGUGUGGCUGUGUGGCACAAUGACGUGUGGCUGUGUACCACACAAUAUUCAAGAAAAUACGCAAAGGGGCCAUCUGGGUAAUUUUAAAUUUGGAAUAUAUAGGAUAUUAUGGGGAUUAGUGAUUACACAGUGUGUAUGUGCCAUUCCUGGUCUAAAUUCUACAAGUACUCAUCUAUACAUUUAACAUGAGAGGAACGCAAAUUUUAAACAAGAAAAUAUGUAAGCUGGCUGGACCGUGAGGCCAACCGGAAAUCGUCUACUGUAUUGAGGUUUUUUGCCGUUGAGUCUCUGUCUGAAGGCCCGAUGUGUAAAAACUGUCAGUUGGCCUGUAACCCAGCCAGUCCGCCCCAGCAUACCCGGUGUCAUUGAUACACAAUUUUUCAGGGUACACAGAAGAAUUUGACAUAUGGACACAACUGCAUAGAGCUGACACUUUCUUACAUAAGUACAAUAUAUUUUGUAUGUCAAAAUCCAUAUCAUUGUUUCCACUCAACGUGUU